rnacentral:sRNA from 1 species
UUUCGUUCGGAGGAGUAUUACUACUUUAGAGGGAGGGGUUAUUGCUUCGUAUCAAAUCAGAGGCAUAAAAAAAAGCGCCCUGAGGCGCUUUUUUUGUCUU